rnacentral:misc_RNA from 1 species
GUUUUUAUUAUUAUUUCACAGCCUAAAACAAACCUGAAAAACGAACCAAAAAUAAAGAAAACAGUGCAAUAAUACUUCCUCCCCUGCUCACCGCCCACCCAUCCAGCCACCGUGGACGCGUCAUCAUACCGUCGCCAAGAAUCCCACCAGCGCGAGCACGAGGGCUACCGGCGCGGCCACGCCGGCCGCGGCCGCGGCGGCGUUGGGGGACUUGGACGACGCCGCGCCGCCGCCGGACGCAUGAGGCGCGGGGGCGGGCGACGGGGACGCCGCCGCGGGGGACUUGCCGGCGAGGACGAGCUUGCUCUUGGCGCCGAGGUUGUCCGGCUGGAACGCGUGCUUGUCGGGGGCGCCGGCGGUGGAUGACGCGCCGACCUGCCACACCUGGUUCACGGCCCUCAUCCCCUCGCGCAGCUGCAGCGUGCCGUACACCCGGAUCCUGCCCCCGGCUGCGGCGUCCGCGGCGAGGUCGGUGGCCGGGAAGUCCAGCGGCGUCGAGACGUUCCCCAGCGGGACGUACCCCGUGAUGUUGUACGUCCGCACGGUGGGCGCCGCGGAGCCGGACCCGGACCCCGCCAGCGCCACCAGCGCCUGCGCGCCGGCCAUGCCCUCGCCCGUCGGGUUCAGCCCCCACGCCACCCACCCGCCGGCCGCCGCCGGCGCCGCCACGAACGCCACGGACAGGGAGCUCUUUGCCGCGUCGUACGUCCAGUGCAGCGACGCGCCCAGCUUCGGGAGGUCCUCGCACGCCGCGUACGCCCGCCCCGCGGGGAACUUCUCGCCCGCGCAGGCGGCCGAUGCCAGACGCGUCGCCGCCGGCGUGGCCAGCAGGAGCAGGAGCAGCGCCAGGGUGUGCGGCCGCAUUGUGGCGGUGCUUGUGCAGGAGGAGUGGUGGACACACGCGGGUUUGGCCGGACGCUUUGGACAGCUCACUCGCUCUCCUGCAGUACUGCUC